rnacentral:siRNA from 1 species
CGGCUGCUUUGUUGAGCC